GACGAACGCUGGCGGCGUGCUUAACACAUGCAAGUCGAACGGAAAGGCCCUGCUUUUGUUGGGUUCUCGAUUGGCGAACGGGUGAGUAACACGUGAGUAACCUGCCCUUAACUUUGGGAUAACUUCAGGGAACUGGGGCUAAUACCGGAUAGGAGCUCCUGCUGCAUGGUGGUGGUUGGAAAGUUUCGGCGGUUGGGGAUGGACUCGCGGCUUAUCAGCUUGUUGGUGGGGUAGUGGCUUACCAAGGCUUUGACGGGUAGCCGGCCUGAGAGGGUGACCGGGCACAUUGGGCCUGAGAUACGGCCCAGAAUGCUACGGGCGGCAGUAGUGGGGAAUCUUGCAGAACGGGCGGAAGCCUGAUGUAGCAAUGCCGCGUGCGGGAUGCUGGGCUACGGGUUGUAAACAGCUUUCGAAUGUGAUGAAGAGUGCGUGACGGUAAUGGGUCAAGAAGCAACGGCUAACUACGUG
rnacentral:rRNA from 1 species